rnacentral:rRNA from 1 species
CCUACGGGGGGCAGCAGUGGGGGAUAUUGCACAAUGGGGGAAACCCUGAUGCAGCGACGCCGCGUGGGUGAAGAAGCGCCUCGGCGCGUAAAGCUCUGUCAGCAGGGAAGAAAAUGACGGUACCUGAAUAAGAAGCCCCGGCUAACUACGUGCCAGCAGCCGCGGUAAUACGUAGGGGGCAAGCGUUAUCCGGAUUUACUGGGUGUAAAGGGGGCGCAGACGGCAGUGCAAGCCUGGAGUGAAAUCCCAGGGCUAAACCCCGGAACUGCUCUUGAAACUGUGCGGCUAGAGUGCAGGAGGGGUAGGCGGAAUUCCUGGUGUAGCGGUGAAAUGCGUAGAUAUCAGGAGGAACACCAGUGGCGAAGGCGGCUUACUGGACUGUAACUGACGUUGAGGCUCGAAAGCGUGGGGAGCAAACAGGAUUAGAUACCCGGGUAGUC